rnacentral:rRNA from 1 species
AGUAGAACGCUGAAGAGAGGAGCUUGCUCUUCUUGGAUGAGUUGCGAACGGGUGAGUAACGCGUAGGUAACCUGCCUGGUAGCGGGGGAUAACUAUUGGAAACGAUAGCUAAUACCGCAUAAGAGUAGAUGUUGCAUGACAUUUGCUUAAAAGGUGCAAUUGCAUCACUACCAGAUGGACCUGCGUUGUAUUAGCUAGUUGGUGAGGUAACGGCUCACCAAGGCAACGAUACAUAGCCGACCUGAGAGGGUGAUCGGCCACACUGGGACUGAGACACGGCCCAGACUCCUACGGGAGGCAGCAGUAGGGAAUCUUCGGCAAUGGACGGAAGUCUGACCGAGCAACGCCGCGUGAGUGAAGAAGGUUUUCGGAUCGUAAAGCUCUGUUGUAAGAGAAGAACGAGUGUGAGAGUGGAAAGUUCACACUGUGACGGUAUCUUACCAGAAAGGGACGGCUAACUACGUGCCAGCAGCCGCGGUAAUACGUAGGUCCCGAGCGUUGUCCGGAUUUAUUGGGCGUAAAGCGAGCGCAGGCGGUUAGAUAAGUCUGAAGUUAAAGGCUGUGGCUUAACCAUAGUACGCUUUGGAAACUGUUUAACUUGAGUGCAAGAGGGGAGAGUGGAAUUCCAUGUGUAGCGGUGAAAUGCGUGGAUAUAUGGAGGAACACCGGUGGCGAAAGCGGCUCUCUGGCUUGUAACUGACGCUGAGGCUCGAAAGCGUGGGGAGCAAACAGGAUUAG